rnacentral:rRNA from 1 species
AUUGAACGCUGGCGGCAGGCCUAACACAUGCAAGUCGAGCGGAUGAAGGGAGCUUGCUCCUGGAUUCAGCGGCGGACGGGUGAGUAAUGCCUAGGAAUCUGCCUGGUAGUGGGGGAUAACGUCCGGAAACGGGCGCUAAUACCGCCUACGUCCUGAGGGAGAAAGUGGGGGAUCUUCGGACCUCACGCUAUCAGAUGAGCCUAGGUUGGAUUAGCUAGUUGGUGGGGUAAAGGCCUACCAAGGCGACGAUCCGUAACUGGUCUGAGAGGAUGAUCAGUCACACUGGAACUGAGACACGGUCCAGACUCCUACGGGAGGCAGCAGUGGGGAAUAUUGGACAAUGGGCGAAAGCCUGAUCCAGCCAUGCCGCGUGUGUGAAGAAGGUCUUCGGAUUGUAAAGCACUUUAAGUUGGGAGGAAGGGCAGUAAGUUAAUACCUUGCUGUUUUGACGGUACCAACAGAAUAAGCACCGGCUAACUUCGUG